UACAGAGGGGGCGAGCGUUGUUCGGAAUUACUGGGCGUAAAGGGCGCGUAGGCGGCCCGCUAAGUCGAACGUGAAAUCCCCAGGCUACAACCUGGGAACUGCGUCCGAUACUGGCAGGCUUGAAUCCGGGAGAGGGAAGUGGAAUUCCUGGUGUAGAGGUGAAAUUCGUAGAUAUCAGGAGGAACACCAGUGGCGAAGGCGGCUUCCUGGACACCAACUGACGCUGAGACGCGAAAGCGUGGGGAGCAAACAGG
rnacentral:rRNA from 1 species